rnacentral:tRNA from 1 species
GCGCCAUUAGCUCAGUUGGUAGAGCACCUGACUCUUAAUCAGGGUGUCCUGGGUUCGAGUCCCCGAUGGCGCA